rnacentral:snoRNA from 1 species
CCUCUUGAAUCUGGAAACCGUCUCCAAGAUCCUCGCUGGCCUGGACAUGGAGUACAAUCCGGUGGUCUCUGCGCUUGUUGCUCGGGUGGAACCCAUCACCGUCCAGGAGUUGUACAAUCAGCUGCUGAGCUUCGAUG